rnacentral:rRNA from 1 species
UACGAAGGGGGCAAGCGUUGUUCGGAAUUAUUGGGCGUAAAGAGCGUGUAGGCGGCCAGACAGGUCCGUUGUGAAAACUCGAGGCUCAACCUCGAGACGUCGAUGGAAACCGUCUGGCUAGAGUCCGGAAGAGGAGUGUGGAAUUCCUGGUGUAGCGGUGAAAUGCGCAGAUAUCAGGAAGAACACCUAUGGCGAAGGCAGCACUCUGGGACGGUACUGACGCUGAGACGCGAAAGCGUGGGGAGCGAACAGG